rnacentral:rRNA from 1 species
GUAUGCAGCCACAGCACCCUGAGAACGCCCUAUCUCAUCUGCUCUGGGAAGCUAAGCAGGGUCGGCCGCGGUCAGCGCUUGGAUGGGAGACCAGUUGGGAACAGCGGGUGCUGUGGGCU